rnacentral:rRNA from 1 species
GACGAACCGUGCGAACGUUAUUCGGAAUCACUGGGCUUAAAGCGCGUGUAGGCGGGGCGGCACGUCGGUCGCUGAAAGCCCCCGGCUCAACCGGGGAAGUGGCACCGAUACGACCGCCCUGGAGGGACGUAGGGGGACCGUGGAACUUCCGGUGGAGCGGUGAAAUGCGUUGAGAUCGGAAGGAACACCGGUGGCGAAGGCGGCGACCUGGGACAAUACUGACGCUGAGGUGCGAAAGCGUGGGGAGCAAACAGGAUUAGAUACCCGGA